rnacentral:rRNA from 1 species
AUCGAUGAAGAACGCAGCGAAAUGCGAUAAGUAAUGUGAAUUGCAGAAUUCAGUGAAUCAUCGAAUCUUUGAACGCACAUUGCGCCCUCUGGUAUUCCGGGGGGCAUGCCUGUUCGAGCGUCAUUUCAAACCUCAAGCUUCUGCUUGGUAUUGGGCGUCGUCCGCUAAGGACGUGCCAGAAACUUGUGGGCGGUGGUGCCGAUCUCCCAGCGUAGUCAAUUCUACCCGCUUCGGAGUUUUAGGUGCCGCCCGCCGGAUAAGCUUAAAUCUAUAUAUGGUUUGACCUCGGAUCAGGUAGGGAUACCCGCUGAACUUAAGCAUAUCAAUAAGCGGAGGAAAAGAAACCAACAGGGAUUGCCUCAGUAACGGCGAGUGAAGCGGCAAUAGCUCAAAUUUGAAAUCUGGUCCUUUCAGGUCCCGAAUUGUAAUUUGUAGAGGAUGUUUCGGCUCACGCCCCGGUCUAAGUUCCUUGGAACAGGACGUCACAGAGGGUGAGAACCCCGUUUGUGGCCGGCGGCUUACGCCAUGUGAAACUCCUUCGACGAGUCGAGUUGUUUGGGAAUGCAGCUCUAAAUGGGAGGUAAAUUUCUUCUAAAGCUAAAUACUGGCCAGAGACCGAUAGCGCACAAGUAGAGUGAUCGAAAGAUGAAAAGCACUUUGGAAAGAGAGUUAAAAAGUACGUGAAAUUGUUGAAAGGGAAGCGCUUGCGACCAGACUUGCCCGCGGAUGCUCAGCCGGUCCUUCGGCCGGUGUACUCUUCCGCGGUCAGGCCAGCAUCAGUUCGGGCGGUCGGAUAAAGGCCUUGGGAAUGUAACUCACCUCGGUGAGUGUUAUAGCCCUCGGUACAAUACGGCCCGCCUGGACUGAGGAACGCGCUUCGGCUAGGAUGCUGGCGUAAUGGUCGUAAGCGGCCCGUCUUGAAACACGG